rnacentral:rRNA from 1 species
CUACGGGGUGCAGCAGUGGGGAAUAUUGGACAAUGGGGGCAACCCUGAUCCAGCCAUGCCGCGUGUGUGAAGAAGGCCUUCGGGUUGUAAAGCACUUUAAGUGGGGAGAAAGGCUCGCUGCCUAAUAAUCAGCGGGAUUGAUGCUACCCACAGAAUAAGCACCGGCUAACUCUGUGCCAGCAGCCGCGGUAAUACAGAGGGUGCAAGCGUUAAUCGGAAUUACUGGGCGUAAAGCGCGCGUAGGCGGCUGAUUAAGUCGGAUGUGAAAUCCCCGGGCUCAACCUGGGAACUGCAUUCGAUACUGAUCGGCUAGAGUAUGAGAGAGGGAGGUAGAAUUCCACGUGUAGCGGUGAAAUGCGUAGAUAUGUGGAGGAAUACCGGUGGCGAAGGCGGCCUCCUGGCUUAAUACUGACGCUGAGGUGCGAAAGCGUGGGGAGCAAACAGGAUUAGAUACCCGUGUAGUC